CCUACGGGAGGCUGCAGUGAGGAAUAUUGGUCAAUGGGCGCGAGCCUGAACCAGCCAAGUAGCGUGAAGGAUGACUGCCCUACGGGUUGUAAACUUCUUGUAUAAAGGAAUAAAGUAGGGCACGUGUGCCGUUUUGUAUGUACUUUAUGAAUAAGGAUCGGCUAACUCCGUGCCAGCAGCCGCGGUAAUACGGAGGAUCCGCGCGUUCUCCGGAUUUAUUGGGGUUAAAGGGAGCGUAGUUGGGUUGUUAAGUCAGUUGUGAAAGUUUGCGGCUCAACCGUAAAAUUGCCAUUGAUACUGGCAGUCUUGCUUACAGUUGAGGUCGGCGUUAUUCGUGGUGUAGCGGUGAAAUGCUUCGAUAUCACGAAGAACUCCGAUUGCGAAGGCAGCUUACUAAACUGCCACUGACAUUGAUGCUC
rnacentral:rRNA from 1 species